UGGGGAAUAUUGCACAAUGGGCGCAAGCCUGAUGCAGCAAUGCCGCGUGAGUGAAGACGGCCUUAGGGUUGUAAAACUCUUUCGCUAGGGAAGAUAAUGACGGUACCUAGUAAAGAAGUCCCGGCUAACUCCGUGCCAGCAGCCGCGGUAAUACGGAGGGGACUAGCGUUGUUCGGAAUUACUGGGCGUAAAGAGUUCGUAGGCGGACUAGCAAGUUAGAGGUGAAAUCCCAGGGCUCAACCUUGGAACUGCCUCCAAAACUAUUGGUCUAGAGUUCGAGAGAGGUGAGUGGAAUUCCAAGUGUAGAGGUGAAAUUCGUAGAUAUUUGGAGGAACACCAGUGGCGAAGGCGGCUCACUGGCUCGAUACUGACGCUGAGGUGCGAAAGUGU
rnacentral:rRNA from 1 species